UACGGGGGGGGCAAGCGUUGUUCGGAAUUACUGGGCGUAAAGGGCUCGUAGGUGGCCAACUAAGUCAGAUGUGAAAUCCCUCGGCUUAACCGGGGAACUGCGUCUGAUACUGGAUGGCUUGAGGUUGGGAGAGGGAUGCGGAAUUCCAGGUGUAGCGGUGAAAUGCGUAGAUAUCUGGAGGAACACCGGUGGCGAAGGCGGCAUCCUGGACCAAUUCUGACGCUGAGGAACGAAAGCCAGGGGAGCAAACGGG
rnacentral:rRNA from 1 species